rnacentral:rRNA from 1 species
UACAGAGGGGGCAAGCGUUGUUCGGAAUUACUGGGCGUAAAGGGCGCGUAGGUGGCCUUCUAAGUUGAACGUGAAAUCCCUGGGCUCAACCCAGGAACUGCGUCCAAGACUGGGAGGCUUGAAUCCGGGAGAGGGAUGCGGAAUUCCAGGUGUAGCGGUGAAAUGCGUAGAUAUCUGGAGGAAUACCAGAGGCGAAGGCGGCUACCUGGACAAUUGCUGACGCUCAGGCACGAAAGCGUGGGGAGCAAAAGGG